UACGAAGGGGGCUAGCGUUGUUCGGAAUUACUGGGCGUAAAGCGCGCGCAGGCGGUCCUUUAAGUCGGGGGUGAAAGCCCAGAGCUCAACUCUGGAACUGCCUUCGAAACUAGGGGACUUGGGUACGGGAGAGGUGAGUGGAAUUCCGAGUGUAGAGGUGAAAUUCGUAGAUAUUCGGAAGAAUACCAGUGGCGAAGGCGGCUCACUGGCCCGUUACCGACGCUCAGGCGCGACAGCGUGGGGAGCAAACAGG
rnacentral:rRNA from 1 species